UACGGGGGGGGCAAGCGUUGCUCGGAAUCACUGGGCGUAAAGGGUGCGUAGGCGGGUUUUUAAGUCAGGGGUGAAAUCCUGGAGCUCAACUCCAGAACUGCCUUUGAUACUGAAGAUCUUGAGUUCGGGAGAGGUGAGUGGAACUGCGAGUGUAAAGGUGAAAUUCGUAGAUAUUCGCAAGAACACCAGUGGCGAAGGCGGCUCACUGGCCCGGUACUGACGCUGAGGUGCGAAAGCGUGGGGAGCAAACAGG
rnacentral:rRNA from 1 species